rnacentral:rRNA from 1 species
GUCAGCUCGUGUCGUGAGAUGUUGGGUUAAGUCCCGCAACGAGCGCAACCCUUAAACUUAGUUGCCAGCAUUUAGUUGGGCACUCUAAGUUGACUGCCGGUGACAAACCGGAGGAAGGUGGGGAUGACGUCAAAUCAUCAUGCCCCUUAUGAUUUGGGCUACACACGUGCUACAAUGGACAAUACAAAGGGCAGCUAAACCGCGAGGUCAUGCAAAUCCCAUAAAGUUGUUCUCAGUUCGGAUUGUAGUCUGCAACUCGACUACAUGAAGCUGGAAUCGCUAGUAAUCGUAGAUC